rnacentral:lncRNA from 1 species
CUUUCCCCCAGGAAGUUGGCUGUACACUGACCUUCAGUGAGCCAGGGAGCCCUGUGCCAGCAAAGAAGUAGGUAUCACCCAGAAGCUCCAGGGCCUUUGAGGAACAACAGACUCUAUGACUAAAUGAGUCCACAACUCUUCUUAUCCCAAAGCCCUUGUUUGAGCGUCCGUUUCUUCAUCUGUUGAAUGGGCACAGCUCUAUCCACCUCACCAGUUGAUUUGGAGGGUGAGACAACCUUACCCCCAUGGAUGACUGGAUUUAAUGAGGAAGUGCUGUCAGCAGAAGAGAAAGGAAAGCCUUAGCUAACACCCACUCCUGGAAACCAGUCCCAAGUCCUUUCCCUGGGAGGUGAGGCCAGGUAGUGAAGGCCUUUCACCCUAGCUACUCCAGAGCUGAGGUAGGAGGCCAAUGAGUUCAAAGCCUGCU